AUGAAGUUCAACAGGGACAAAUGCAAGAUACUUCAUUUCGGCAGAAAAAAUGGAAAUCAAAGAUACAGAAUGGGGGACGCCUGGCUUGACAGCAGUGUGUGCGAAAAAGACCUUGGAGUCCUCGUGGACAACAAGUUAAACAUAAGCCAACAAUGUGAUGCAGCAGCCAAAAAAGCCAACGGGAUUCUGGCCUGCAUAAAUAGGGGUAUAGCGUCUAGAUCCAGGGAAGUCAUGCUCCCCCUCUAUUCUGCCUUGGUCAGACCACACCUGGAAUACUGUGUCCAAUUCUGGGCACAGCAAUUGAAGGGAGAUGUUGACAAGCUAGAAAGCGUCCAGAGGAGGGCGACUAAAAUGAUUAAGGGUCUGGAGAACAAGCCCUAUGAGGAGCGGCUUAAAGAGCUGGGCAUGUUUAGCUUGCAGAAGAGAAGGCUGAGAGGAGACAUGAUAGCUAUGUACAAAUACGUGAAGGGAAGUCAUAGGGAGGAGGGAGCAAGCUUGUUUUCUGCUGCCCUGCAGACUAGGACACGGAACAAUGGCUUCAAACUACAGGAAAGGAGAUUCCACCUGAACAUCAGGAAGAACUUCCUCACUGUGAGGGCUGUUCGACAGUGGAACUCUCUCCCCCAGACUGUGGUGGAGGCUCCUUCCUUGGAGGCUUUUAAGCAGAGGCUGGAUGACCAUCUCCCCCAGACUGUGGUGGAGGCUCCUUCCUUGGAGGCUUUUAAGCAGAGGCUGGAUGGCCAUCUGUCGGGGGUGCUUUGAAUGCGAUUUCCUGCUUCUUGGCAGGGGGUUGGACUGGAUGGCCCAUGAGGUCUCUUCCAACUCUACUAUUCUAUGAUUCUAUGAUUCUAUGAUUCAUCAUGCAUAUAUCUCCAAACCCCCCCCCCUUUUUUUUUUGGGAAAUUAUCCAAGUGAAAGUAAUUCCUGGGUACAGUCAUUUGCUGAUAUUUCAUAGCAGAGACUGCAAAGCACUGUUUUGACUCAUUCUCUGGCUCUCCACUCACUUCCUAAGUGCAGAGGAAAUGCCUGCAUAGUGCUAUUAAAUUCACCUGCCUGACUGAUGGAUUAGUAAUUUCAGCAACAGCGCCCUAUUGAAGAGAAAUCAGUAGAUAAUUGACUGUCAAACAGCUGGGCAAUGUUAAGGUCAAUUAAUGCUGAGGAUGGUAUAUUUGAAUAAUGGGACAUGUUUCCAAAGAAGACCUUUAAUGCUAAUAUAAAUAAUAGAAAUAACAAUAACGUUCCCUUUAAUGAAAUUGUUCAACAUUGCCGGGGGUGAGUGGGAAGACUGAAUUACUCAUAGCAAAUACUUUUCCCCCAGGCAAUAAAUUCUGUUUGUAUGGAAUAAAAUACGAUGGUGUGAUACGGGGAUAGAUAAUACAGUAUGACCAUAUGUCAAUAACAGUUUUUUUUCCUUUUAUUUAUGUGCCAAAUAUUUAUAGUUGAUAAAGAUACAACUGAGCUACCUACUGAGUGAUAGUUUAGAACACUCAUGCUUUCCAGCAUUUUAGUGUGGAUGAUGGUAUUAUCUUUUAAGCUGAAGCCAAAUGAUGUUCAGAUUAUAAUAAUAAUAAUAAUAAUAAUAAUAAUAAUAAUAAUAAUAACAACUAAUUUUAAGUCAAGAGAUCCAAAAAAAUCUCCCUUUUGUGCAAAAUGCCAGAAGGAAACAGCACCUCAAUAGCAAGCAUGGACAAGUAUUUAUGAUAUUAAUUGUUCAGCAGUAAGUAUCGAUUUGAGCUAAAUAGAUGGUUGUAGUAAAAGCUACUAACAGGCAAAACAGAUGGGAUAAUGACCUUUAUGUAGAACAAGCACUUCACCAUAAGCUACUUUUUUCCUUUGCAAAAAACAAAACAAAAAACCACAGAUUUAUCCUCAAUAUGGAUAUGUGAAAUCUCAAGAAACAGUUUGACUUCCACAGUGUGUUAGAAGGGUUGCUCCCCAGCUCUGCCUUUGAACUUCCCACUGUUUCCCCUCUGUUGGGUAGACACAUGUAUACUAUAUCCUAAGUCCACCAAAAUAGUUUAGUGGACUUGGGAUAUGGUGGAAGACAAUCAUCCAUUUAAAGAGAUGGUGGUAUCAUUUUGUUCUUCACCCCAGGCAGGGAAAGAUCUUGGGCCAGCCCCACUUUGGUUUUAGUGUAAGAAUGAAUUCCUUUAAAAAUAAAUCCUGCUAUAGGCAAUCACUCAUGGCCAAGUAUGAUUGUCUUCCAUGGUGUGUCCAUAAAUGACUGUAGAGACUAAUGACCUUAUCACACUUACACCUGAUCCAUCCUCCUUCAUCUCAUAUUGGUGGGGUGGGUUGAAUCCAGUGCCAAGCACCCCUCAUCACUCACAUCUCAAGUAACAAGGCGGGGAAAAGGGAGCAGAAAGGAGGAUUUGGUUGUAAGGAGCCAGGCAGCUCAGAGUUUCAAAUCUCCAAUUUGAAUCCACCUGGAAAAGGGGGAGAAAUCAAUCUGAGAAAGACCCCCCCCCCGGUCUCUGAGCACAUUUAAAUGGAGAAAGAGAGGAGCCAAAGAAGAAGGAGAGGAAGACAGUGAUGGGCAGGGAAUGGGGAGGGAGAGACCAAGGAAGGGGGGAGAGACCAAGGAGGGGGGAGAAACCGGGGAAGGGGGGAGAGAGGGAGCAGAGAGAGGGAGCAGGGGGAUCGUGGAGAAGGGGGCACCUCAAAUUCAGAAGAUCGGGGUAAAGUAGAUACUUGGAGAAGCCCUCUGACCUCUAACAGCCCAGGAAAUGAAGAUCUGGCAGUUCUGGGAGGAUAGAUUUCUCUCCCAAACCCCAGGCUUACGUUUGACCCAGAUGGAAGGGAAGCCAGAGGUUUCCAAGUUGCAUCUUGCCAGGUUUCUGCAGAUUUUGGGCAGGAUUGAUAUGGAAGAAGAGAAAAAGAUGCAAUCUAGGCACUGAGGAUAUGGAUUGCAAAUGGUUAAUGUUUACUGGAGAAGAAGAAAAGGGUGAGAGUGAACAGACACCCAGUUAUACGCCUGGCCCAGUCUCGCUCUCACCAUGAGGAACUUAAAAAUAAUCAUUAUUAUGGUCUUUAGUAGUGAGGAGAUAGAUUUUCAGAUGGAAGGCAGGCACAACAGGUGUUUGCUUGAUGCACCUUCCUCUUGGCACAUUUCUCCCUUCUGCUCUCUAUUCAUGCCUCUUCAAAAUCCAUAGCAUUGUCUCCUUAUUCAUGAGCACUGUAGAGAAAGUUUAGUAACAGUGAGCAAACUUUCUUUUUUGUGUGUCACUCCUUACAUUUACCUUUAGACCUGGGGAGACUUUUUUGUAUUCAGAUCUUGUUCCCAAGGGUAAGUGUAUGUCCUAUAUUGGUAGUUCUAACUAGAAUAGGCCCAUUGAAUUUUUAGAAUUUAGAGAAGUGUUGACUCACCAUUUAGAAAUGUGUUAAAUGAGUCUACUCUAAUUGGGAUUACAAAUAAAAUUCAGAUCAGUAAAUUGAACCUUGUUCUGUAGAGCCCUCCUGCCAAAUUGCUCCUGUAAAGCAAGAGACAAUUUCAUUAUGUUUGUAGUUUUUAUUGAGUCAGCUUAUUUUACACAGGGAUGUAUAGAUGAGUCUUAACACAACUUAUUACUUGUGUGGGAGUAUAAAAUUGCAACCCCUGAAGUUGCAGAAGGCUCUUCAUUGCAGA
rnacentral:lncRNA from 1 species